AAUGAACGUUGGCGGCGUGGAUUAGGCAUGCAAGUCGAGCGAGAACCCCGCAAGGGGGGACAGCGGCGAAAGGGACAGUAAUGUGUAGAUUAUCUGCCCUCAGGUCCGGGAUAGCUGCGGGAAACUGCAGGUAAUACCGGAUAACAUCUCCGGAUCAAAGGUGUGAUUCCGCCUGAGGAUGAGUCUGCAUCCUAUUAGCUAGUUGGUGGGGUAAUGGCCUACCAAGGCAUUGAUGGGUAGCAGGUGUGAGAGCACGACCUGCGUCAUUGGGACUGAGACACUGCCCAGACACCUACGGGUGGCGGCAGUCGAGAAUCUUCGGCAAUGGGCGCAAGCCUGACCGAGCGACGCCGCGUGUGGGAUGAAGGCCUUCGGGUUGUAAACCACUGUCAGAGGGGAUGAAAUGCAGGUGGGUUCUCCCAUCUGUUUGACAUAGCCUCAGAGGAAGGACGGGCUAAGUUCGUG
rnacentral:rRNA from 1 species